AGCUAGAGUUUGAUCCUGGCUCAGGACGAACGCUGGCGGCGUGCUUAACACAUGCAAGUCGAGCGGUAAGGCCCUUUGGGGUACACGAGCGGCGAACGGGUGAGUAACACGUGGGUGACCUGCCCUGCACUCUGGGAUAAGCCUGGGAAACUGGGUCUAAUACCGGAUAUGACCACAUGGUGCAUGUUGUGUGGUGGAAAGUUCUUUCACUUUGGUGAUUGUUCGGUGGGGGAUGGGCCCGCGGCCUAUCAGCUUGUUGGUGGGGUGAUGGCCUACCAAGGCUUUGACGGGUAGCCGGCCUGAGAGGGUGACCGGCCACACUGGGACUGAGACACGGCCCAGACUCCUACGGGAGGCAGCAGUGGGGAAUCUUGCACAAUGGGCGGAAGCCUGAUGCAGCGACGCCGCGUGAGGGAAGAAGGCUUUCGGGUUGUAAACCUCUUUCAGGAGGGACGAAGCUCCUCGGGUUAAUAGCCCAGAGGGUGACGGUACCUCCAGAAGAAGCCCCGGCUAACUACGUGCCAGCAGCCGCGGUAA
rnacentral:rRNA from 1 species